rnacentral:tRNA from 1 species
AAAAGCAUAGUUCAAUCAGGGUAUAACAGUAGUUUCCAAAACUAACAAUGUAGGUUCAAAUCCUGCUGCUUUUG